rnacentral:rRNA from 1 species
GCUCAGGACGAACGCUGGCGGCGUGCUUAACACAUGCAAGUCGAACGAAGAUACUUAAAAUGAGAGCUUCGGCAGGAUUUUUAUUUAUCUUAGUGGCGGACGGGUGAGUAACGUGUGGGCAACCUGCCCUAUACUGGGGAAUAAUCACUGGAAACGGUGACUAAUACCGCAUGUCAUUACGGAAGGGCAUCCUUCUGUAAGAAAAGGAGUGAUUCGGUAUAGGAUGGGCCCGCAUCUGAUUAGCUAGUUGGUGAGAUAACAGCCCACCAAGGCGACGAUCAGUAGCCGACCUGAGAGGGUGAUCGGCCACAUUGGGACUGAGACACGGCCCAAACUCCUACGGGAGGCAGCAGUA